rnacentral:misc_RNA from 1 species
UCGAGUUGCCUCGUAACUGCCAAACGAGACGGACGUGUCCAAAUUGGAGUUCUCGUCAUCCAGUUCCAAUUUCGAUGAAUCGAAUUUCCUUGCGCUUUCUGCCCCGUCAGUAAAGUGGCGUUCAUUUUCGGACGGAUAACGUCAGUGGUAGGUGGUAGAGUGUUGGCACAACUUUGAAACAUUUAAACAUGAGUCAUCCUAUCCUGAUUUUAUGUUUCUGUGUCGUGAUGUCGGUUGAGGCCACUCGUUCUGAGUAUUUGCAAGCCAAUAAGCCCAAGGUGAUGGAACAAGGAUCUGACCUGUCUGAUUUCUACGCCCUGUUCGGCUCGGAUAGAGCAUCCGCCAAAGAGCCGUGCACCAGAGGAAGCGAUUGUGGCCAUCAGCCGCCAAACCGGUUCCCGACUCCCGCGGACACGGGCGAUUUUGAUUUCCUUUUUCGCACAUUCAACCAUCAUGCCAAAUCGCACAAACAGCAACAAGAUUACAACUAAAAAGGUGCCGCUGUGGUCGAGGAUGGAAAUGAAUUUCCGCUAUGCGCCAGCAAACAUAUCACGGCUAGACAUUUUUACAUCAAAUCAGUAUUCAUUAGAAUUGAGUUGAUCAGCACAUUCGACCCUGUUACAUGCACAAACAUAUUUUAAAAUCACUAGUUUACUAAUUCUAUUUUCUAGCCUGGGGUUUCAAUUAUUAUUAUAUCAUCCAUUUGACGCGAUCAAUUGACGUUUUAAAUUUUCCCGCCAAAUGUAAUUUGUAUCUCGGAGAAUAUAGUAGUCUUCUUCUUCAUCGCACUGUUGACAUUCUAUAUACUCACUUGUUCGAAGACGCUUAUUCUUUUCCAUCGUUUGUUCCUGGAGGAGUCCCGGGAGAUGUAAUUAUCAAGUAGUUAUUCACCUUUCUUUUUCCGCACGUUUGUCGUGAGUAGAAAACCGAUGAUGGAGCGCUGAUGGGCAACCGCUUGCUUUCAUUUCGUCCACCGACGUUAAAAAUUCAUCAGUUAGAAAAUUAAAAAGUAGGGCGUCAGCAGGCUUUGAUGUCGGUGGGUUGGAUGAAUCUCUCCUCCGUGCUGCACGUCGUCUUCAGUUUUCCAAACUGACAGGUGAAAGUGUGCGGUUGAACUCGGUCCGUGUGCUGUGCAGCAGCGGGGCAAGUUUUACAGGUAUAAAAGAGGAUCGCACUUGCAUCCCAUUAUUCACUUGCUCAUCAGCAUUUGCCACUGGAUUAAGAUAAAGCAAUAAACUACCGGAUUAAAUCAUCACAAGUCCUCCUGCAAAUAACCACAAUGAAAUUCACGAUCGCUUAUUGCCUUUUGGUGUUGGUUGUUGCCUCACAAGCCCAGCAAUGGCGGAACAAUUACGAUGCUGGAUCGUAUCCUUCGGAUGACAUCCGAGCUCCUUCUGCGCCCGCCUACCCCGCCGAAGACUAUCCCGCCCCGUUUCAACCCUACACACCACCGAAACAUUACAAAGCGAAACCGGGAAAUCCCGUCUUGUACCGAGAAAUUCCCGUUCCUCUGCCCAUUCCCGCUUACCCCGCUUCCGUCAUUCUACCCUCUCCGCCCUACCCUUCCAAAACCCAUCCCAUCCCCUACGCUUGAUUGGGACAGUUUGAUUUAUAGUCCUCACAAAAUGUCUCUCUUUGCUGUUGAUCAGUUUGACACUAAAAUCCAUUUUUAACUCCAUUUACUUUCCUUUAAUUUCGAUUUCAGAAGAGGUCAUUUGACAAGUGCAACAUUCGCAUUUCGCAAUUGUUUUUAUCGAAUUUUGUUUUGUGCGAAGCAGCUGUCUAAUAAAUCUGAAAGCAAUUUUGUGAAAAAUGACGUAAUAAAACGUUCCUACAGA